AUGGUAUAUUUUCUUCAACUUGGUAUGGAUAGUUCAUGUUUAGGUAAAUAUUAGAAAUAAACGUCGAAAACAAAGAUUGGAUUAAAGCUGGAAAUUUGAAUUUUACAAAAUAUACGAAAAACAUUGAUUAAAUAUUUUUAAACGAAAUCAUGUAUUGUUAAUUUUAAAAUAUACUUUUGUGCCAUAACUACCUACAACGUCAAAGUGAUAGAUCAAACCCAAUAGGGACCAAUUUCACAAUCGGUGUUAAUAAACUAGUUUCAAACCAAUGUACAUCUCUAAAGCAAGCAACCAACAUUUAACAAAAUAGACCGUAACAUAGAGUAUUUGGCAACAUUAGUUCUAUAUUACCCUUUUCAAAAGAUAAGAUAAAUCAUCAUCGUCAUCAUACUCAGUAAAUCACAUCAAUAGCAAAGCUAAGGUAGGGUAUUAGGAGGGUAAGACGUAGACAACCUUACCUUUACCCCGUAAGAAUAGAGAGGAUGCUUCCAGUGAAACCCCCGUCUCGAUAGUAAUUUUGCAUCAAGGCUUAAACAUAAGUCACAUAACACUUAGCAAUUGGGACAAAAGCCGAUUAGCGCAUGUACCCACUUGUCUUUCGGCUAUCAACGCCACUACAGGAUGCAUGAUUAACCGUCCCUCACUUUUUAACGUUAUUUUCACGAAAUUAGUAAAAUAACAUUAAAAUUAUUGCACUUUUACUUUUACCCUCGAGGCCCACACAUAUACAUUAUAUGCGUAUACCGCAAAAUAUGGUAAUUACCCGAAAAUAGUAAAGAUACCUUACAUUUUAUUAAGAUCUAGCUUUUUACACGGUAAGGAAUAUGAUUUUUUUUAAACUACAAACUCACACUCACUAAAUCUACUCCUAAAAACACAAAUGUUUAGUACGGGAUUAGAACCCACACCAUACUACAACACUCCUUGAUAUUACUAGGCUACAAGCUUUUAGUCGAUAAGGAAUAGUAUAGUUUACUUAUUGCGAAGGCGUGGUGUAUUACGGAGUUUAGUAACCCUGUCUUUUCCAUGCGAUGGUCCCAUAGGUGGUACAAUCCCCUUGGGAAGCGAUUGAGAAACCAUCUUGUACCCUUUCUUUGAUCCGAUCUUGUAGUUUUUUUCGUGCAUGACCUUGCUACCAUUGCCAUGGCUUACAUU
rnacentral:lncRNA from 1 species